rnacentral:tmRNA from 1 species
GGGGCUGAUUCUGGAUUCGACGGGAUUUGCGAAACCCAAGGUGCAUGCCGAGGGGGCGGUUGGCCUCGUAAAAAGCCGCAAAAAAAUAGUCGCAAACGACGAAAACUACGCUUUAGCAGCUUAAUAACCUGCUUAGAGCCCUCUCUCCCUAGCCUCCGCUCUUAGGACGGGGAUCAAGAGAGGUCAAACCCAAAAGAGAUCGCGUGGAAGCCCUGCCUGGGGUUGAAGCGUUAAAACUUAAUCAGGCUAGUUUGUUAGUGGCGUGUCCGUCCGCAGCUGGCAAGCGAAUGUAAAGACUGACUAAGCAUGUAGUACCGAGGAUGUAGGAAUUUCGGACGCGGGUUCAACUCCCGCCAGCUCCACCA